rnacentral:rRNA from 1 species
UACGAGGGGGGCAAGCGUUGUUCGGAAUUAUUGGGCGUAAAGCGCGCGCAGGCGGCUUUGUAAGUCUGGUGUUUAAACCCGGGGCUCAACCUCGGGUCACAUCGGAAACUGCAAGGCUUGAGUGCAGAAGAGGAAAGUGGAAUUCCCAGUGUAGAGGUGAAAUUCGUAGAUAUUGGGAAGAACACCGGUGGCGAAGGCGGCGACCUGGUCCGAUACUGACGCUGAGGCGCGAAAGCGUGGGGAGCAAACAGG